GCUGUCUUAGCUCAGCGGUAGAGCACUUCAUUGGUAAUGAAGAGGUCAACAGUUCAAUCCUGUUAGACAGCACCA
rnacentral:tRNA from 1 species